UGGAGAAGAAAGCAAAAAAAAAACCAUUUGGGUGUUGUGAAUGUGGUAAAAGAUUUAGAGAAAAGGGUAAUCUGAAAACACACAUGAGAAUUCAUACAGGAGAGAAACCAUUUGUCUGCUCUGAGUGUGAUAAAAGAUUUAGAGAAAAAGGCAACUGGAAAACGCAUAUGAGAAUUCAUACAGGAGA